GAAAUGCGAAACGCAAUGCGAAUUGCAGAACCGCGAGUCAUCAGAUUUUUGAACGCAAAUGGCGAUAGCGCAAGCUAUCAUGUUUGUUUCAGUGUACUAGGUUAUUUACAUCACAUAUCUAAAUGCGAUUGAGGCAACUCUCUCGUCGAGCAUGGGGCUGCUUGGGCCGGAAGCAUAUUCAACGAAGUAGUCACUAAAUUAAGUGAUGUCGUGGGAGUGUUGACGACUCAUUAAGAGCGGCUCACCAUCAAGAUAUCCCAAAUGGUACCUGAGAUAAGCAAGAUUACCCGCUGAACUUAA
rnacentral:misc_RNA from 1 species